GGUAAGGUGGCCGAAAGUGAGGCGGUGGGUUGUAGCCCCAAACACAAAGGUUAAAGUCCUUUUCUUGCCA
rnacentral:tRNA from 1 species